GAUGAACGCUGGCGGCGUGCCUAAUACAUGCAAGUCGAGCGAACGGACGAGAAGCUUGCUUCUCUGAUGUUAGCGGCGGACGGGUGAGUAACACGUGGAUAACCUACCUAUAAGACUGGGAUAACUUCGGGAAACCGGAGCUAAUACCGGAUAAUAUUUUGAACCGCAUGGUUCAAAAGUGAAAGACGGUCUUGCUGUCACUUAUAGCUUGAUCCGCGCUGCAUUAGCUAGUUGGUAAGGUAACGGCUUACCAAGGCAACGAUGCAUAGCCGACCUGAGAGGGUGAUCGGCCACACUGGAACUGAGACACGGUCCAGACGCCUACGGGAGGGAGCAGUAGGGAAUCUUCCGCAAUGGGCGAAAGCCUGACGGAGCAACGGCGCGUGAGUGAUGAAGGUCUUCGGAUCGUAAAACUCUGUUAUUAGGGAAGAACAUAUGUGUAAGUAACUGUGCACAUCUUGACGGUACCUAAUCAGAAAGCCACGGCUAACUACGUG
rnacentral:rRNA from 1 species